GUCCCCAGCGGCCGGUAACGGAGAGGGAAUACAGAGGUCCCCCCUCCCCGUUUGCAUCAGCAGUUGCGACACCGUAACAGCCACAACAGCGGCGGUAUCCUCUCUGCGGAGCGGGGUUUCCAAUGACGCUAACAUUCUCUUUCCUUGAAGAGCUGCAAGAUUGAAAUGACAUGUUUCGAGCUCUUCAAGCUGACUCAUCAGAAUCCUGGGGCAUUUUUUAAAAUGACGAAAUGGAAGACAAAAAAUUAAAAUUGUCAAUAAGGAGUUUUUCAAACGCCAGGCUCCUCCAGGAUUGAGCUAGAUGGUUCCAAGCACUUGUCAUUUCUGGCAAGGAGAGUGCAGAGAACAAAGGCAGAAGACCUGGGCUGAAUUGCAUCUCUUAAGGGUAACCACGCAACAGGUUUAUUUGUAGCAGUGUGACCUAAGAGCCUCAUUCUCUUCUACACAGUGUUAACGCACCUCUGUGGUCCAGUCCUAUGGAUCCACUUGUCCAAAGCCUCAACCAUUCAGUCAACAAACUUUCACCGGGCUCCGUCUGUAUACCAAGCUCCAUUCUGUUGGAAGAACUUCCAUGGAAUUAAAACAAGGCAAAGCUGCUCUUCUGGAGUUUAUAUUUCUGGGGGGUUUAUAAACAUCCAAAAUAUUAAAAAAUGUAAAAUAUCUGGUAGCAAGGGACACUAGAAUGAAAAAUUUUAGAUAUUAACGUGCAGAGAACAAUGGGUGAGUUGUCACAGGGGUUGUUUCAGGAAAGUCUUUUUGAGGAGGGGAUAUUUCGCAGAGCCCCGGCUGAAGCGAGGAAAUGAACCACGCGGCACUGUGAGGAAGCAGAACUUUCAUUCUACCGCCUUCAAGCUUCUGCCUCUCUUACAUUUGUAGGAAAAUCAUUUAAAAAGUUCAUAGUGUCUUUAAGUGGUAGCCUCUUAACUUGCUAUAAAGAUUUUUGGUCUCAAGCCAGAAUGUAAUCAGAAUCAGAGAGCUAGAGGCUACUAUAGAAAUCAUCUAAUCUAUUUGCCAAUGUUAAGGAGGAGGCAGGUACGAUUUAGACAGGUUAAUUGAUUUGUUUUAAGUGACAAAGUGAACUAAUGGUAAAAUGGCAAUCGGAACCCUGGUCUCCUGGCUCUUCCUGUCGCCCAGUUUAGGACUGAGCUUUCUCGGUACAGCAGGCACUCUCAUAAUGUUUCAUUCAAUGCUGUUUUGCUCUCAUGUUUAGGAGAUGCCAUAGGAGCUUACCUCUUGUUUAUAUUACUCAGCCUGUGGUAAAAUUGGUGGCCUAUAUGUUGGUUUGUGUGCAGUUGCAGAUCCUAUGGACAACAUUAAGUGAGGACUUACUGUAAUGAGACCCAAAUGAGGAAGUCUUUUUGAAACUUUUAAGAAUUUUUUAAAAGCAUAUUUAAUUUAUUCUGUCUUUCUUCAGAAUUUCAUUUCUAUUGAUGUUUCAAAUGGGUCAUUUGUUUUUCUCUUUACAUUGCAGAGUCUAUUUGAUUGGUUAUUCAGAAACAGAUUUGCAAUGAUUUGUUUUAAAACAUGGAGAUAUGUUUUAAAUUUUCAUUUCCUAAUACUGUAAAAGGUGUUUUUUAGGCCCGUAAACAUGAUGCAUACACAUAUACACACAACCCCAAAAUUUCAUUGUGUAUAGUCCCAAAUAGCAUAAAGUCAUGGAUUUUAAUUGCAUUAUGGUUUUCUCCUCCUCAUGAGAUCCUGAUGAAUGGCUCUAAGAAUUUACAUGGAGGGUGGCUUAAUAGUACAUUUUCCAGAUCAUUUCUAAAGGAUUAGAAGCCUUACACUUAUCUUUGGAAGGUAAGGCUAAGAAUCCUCUCCUAUGCAGAAUGCAAGUUUCAUGGCAUUCCUCAAGGUUAGUAGCUUAGUAGUAUAAUUUUGUUACACUUACUAUACUUUCAACUCACAGUAAGCUCAUAAGGUACAUCUUAAUAAUUUUUAAAACAGUGAAUUUGAACAUGGAACUAUAACUUCUGAGAAUAUAUGUCAAAUUAUAUGUUUUGCUCUAUAAUUUUGGGGACAGAUUAUUUUCUUGUUAUAUCAAUAAAGCUUUCUUUUACAGGCAUCCUUUCCAUAUAAUAGACAAUCAUUCCUCUUUAAUAUGUUCAUGAUUAAAUAUCUUAGAUGAAUACAAUAAUUUUCUUAGAAAUAUAUAAAACAAUCCGUCAAAGCAUUUACAAUGAUUUCUGUGGUUCCAAAAUGUGUCCUUUAUGGUUCCGUUUUGGAUGUGAACUGUGUCUGAUUGGUUUAGUCUUAUGUCUU